rnacentral:rRNA from 1 species
UACGUAGGUCCCGAGCGUUAUCCGGAAUUAUUGGGUGUAAAGGGUGCGUAGACGGGAAAGCAAGUUAGUUGUGAAAUCCCUCGGCUUAACUGAGGAACUGCAACUAAAACUACUUUUCUUGAGUGCAGGAGAGGUAAGUGGAAUUCCUAGUGUAGCGGUGAAAUGCGUAGAUAUUAGGAGGAACACCAGUGGCGAAGGCGACUUACUGGACUGUAACUGACGAUGAGGCACGAAAGUGUGGGGAGCAAACAGG